CUCCUAUUCAGUGCUAACUUUGACUUUGUGCCCUGGGCCAGGUGAAAAGACUUUUCCAAAUAAGAAAGAAUAAGAAAAAAAACCAAAAAACAACCCACAAAACAAAGCACAAGAAGUAAACCAUAAAUUGAAAUUUCUAUACGAAGACCUUUCUUCGACUUUUUGGCAAAAUACUGCAUCUUCAGCCAGGAGAAGUUGGCGAAGUACAAAAGGGCUUUUGAAGCGCAUGGCCAAGAGGGGCUGUCCGAGAUCAAGUCUUAGCUUAGAGAAACUCAGAAACCAGAACUUCCUUUCUUCCAUCACCAGAAGGUUCAUCUCAUCAACUCUUGUUACUGAAACAGCAUCUUCCAUGG
rnacentral:lncRNA from 1 species